GGCCCGGUGGCGUAACUGGUAACACGCACAUUGUUGGUUUUUCCUCGCAAUAGUGCAAUUGCGAGUCCCUCGUUCGAUUCGAGGUCGGGCCU